GAUGAACGCUGGCGGCGUGCUUAACACAUGCAAGUCGAACGAUGAAGCCCAGCUUGCUGGGUGGAUUAGUGGCGAACGGGGGAGUAACACGUGAGUAACCUGCCCUUAACUCUGGGAUAAGCCUGGGAAACUGGGGCUAAUACCGGAUAGGAGCGUCCACCGCAUGGUGGGUGUUGGAAAGAUUUAUCGGUGUUGGAUGGACUCGCGGCGUAUCAGCUUGUUGGUGAGGUAAUGGCUCACCAAGGCGACGACGGGUAGCCGGCCUGAGAGGGUGACCGGCCACACUGGGACUGAGACACGGCCCAGACUCCUACGGGAGGCAGCAGUGGGGAAUAUUGCACAAUGGGCGCAAGCCUGAUGCAGCAACGCCGCGUGAGGGAUGACGGCCUUCGGGUUGUAAACCUCUUUCAGUAGGGAAGAAGCGAAAGUGACGGUACCUGCAGAAGAAGCACCGGCUAACUACGUG
rnacentral:rRNA from 1 species